rnacentral:rRNA from 1 species
AAUCAACGCUGGCGGCGUGCCUAACACAUGCAAGUCGAACGCGAAAGCCCCUUCGGGGGCAAGUAGAGUGGCGUCCGGGUGAGUAACACGUGGGUAAUCUACCUCCGGGUGGGGAAUAACUCGCCGAAAGGCGGGCUAAUACCGCAUAAUGCAGCGGCACCGAAUGGUGAUUAGUUGUUAAAGCGGGGGACCUUAGGGCCUCGCGUCUGGAGAGGAGCCUGCGGCAGAUUAGCUUGUUGGAGGGUAAUGGCCUACCAAGGCUGCGAUCUGUAGCUGGUCUGAGAGGACGGCCAGCCACACUGGCACUGACACACGGGCCAGACUCCUACGGGAGGCAGCAGUGGGGAAUUUUGGGCAAUGGGCGAAAGCCUGACCCAGCAACGCCGCGUGAAGGAGGAAAUCCUUCGGGAUGUAAACUUCACAAGCAAGGGAAGAGCGCGCAGGGUCGAAUAAACUCUGCGUCCGACGGUACCUUGCGUAAGCCAC